rnacentral:tRNA from 1 species
GGGCCCGUGGCCUAGUCUGGAUAAGGCACUGGCCUUCUAAGCCAGUGAUCCCGGGUUCGAACAGUAGCAGUUAGGGAUUAGUGGCUGGGGGUUAGGGACGUAUUCCCUAGAUCCUGGCUACUGAUUACUAACUACUACUCUGAAAAUCCCGGCGGGUCCG